CUCCCAAGUAGCUGGGACCACAGACAAAGUCUCGCUCUGUCCUCAGAGGCAGGAGUACAAUGGUGUGAUCAUAGCUCACUAUCACCUUGAAAUCCAGGACCGAAACGAUCCUCCCACCUCAGCCUCCUGAGUAGCUGGGAUUACAGAUGGAGUCUUGAUGUGUCACCCAGGCUAGAGUGCA